UCUAAAGCAUACAAAUGGUAAG
rnacentral:snRNA from 1 species